UAGAAGUCAGUGCCCGUCCUGGUCACUCCUAUCCAGGCCAUCUGGACUCACCCAUGCCUCGGAGCUCCACAGCAGGGCGGCAGAGCUGGAGGGCUUCACGGACCAGGCCAACCUCAGGGGAGUCCAGGUCCCUGAGAAGAAGUCGGCCAGGACGCCAUGCCUCUUGGCUCUCUCGGAUCCUGACAGGUAGCGCUCACGGACCACCUCGACCAGCUGUCUACAGAGAGGGUAUACAGACUGAUAGACCUGGGUGACCCAUCAAGCUCAAAGGUGGCUGCUUGUCUUCCUGGAGGCAGUUCCCAAAUCCCAAGCCAUCCUAAACCACUCUGUUGACCACCUGUGCUAUUUGAUACAUCACAUCUAUCUCUAAA
rnacentral:lncRNA from 1 species